rnacentral:tRNA from 1 species
UCCAGGAUAGCCUAGUGGUCAUGGAAUCUGCCCGGUAAGCGGAACACUGUGGGUUCGAUUGCCAUCCUUGGAC